rnacentral:rRNA from 1 species
UACGGGGGGGGCAAGCGUUGUUCGGAAUUACUGGGCGUAAAGGGCUCGUAGGCGGCCAACUAAGUCGGUUGUGAAAUCCCCCGGCUCAACCGGGGAAUUGCGUCCGAUACUGGAUGGCUGGAAGCCGGGAGAGGGAUGCAGAAUUCCAGGUGUAGCGGUGAAAUGCGUAGAUAUCUGGAGGAACACCGGUGGCGAAGGCGGCAUCCUGGACCGGUCUUGACGCUGAGGAGCGAAAGCUAGGGUAGCAAACGGG